CGGAGCGAAGCCAGUUAUUUCUACCAUGUAGUUUGUCAUUAUGAUUUGAUUUUUCUUUCUUCCGUAGCAACACACUGUACUUACACCUGUAGAAGAACAACAUUAGUGAUGAAAGCUCUUGGUUUCCCCCGGCACACUCGGAUAUAUAUUGCUACAGGUGAAAUAUGUGAUGGUGAAAAAGAUUAACUGCAUUGAAUACAAAGUUCCCUAACAUAGCGUAUGUGCACAAGGUUGCUUCUUAUCUGAUGGUGAACUACACCUCUUCCAAUAACCACUCGACCCAAAUGGCAGCCCUGGAAUAUCUUGUUUCUGUCAUAGGUGAUGUUUUUAUUCCCUGUCCUGAUGGAAACAUGGCUAAAUCAUUUCUUCUUGCCACCAUGGAUAUGCAUUAGUAUGACAUGGUUAGCUGGGGCGAACGUGAGAAGAAAAUAAAUAUUUGCAUACACACAGGGUUGUAGUGUAUAGCUCUCAUGUGAAUGCAGACGUUUGUUUUGAAAAUCAUGACUAUCGUCAGCAAGAAUGAACCCAGCAAAAUAAUUUAUUUCUUUUUCUUUUUUCCUUACGAUCCAAUCAAUGGACCGGGUUCCACUAUCAGCAAAAUAAUUACCGAAGGUUAACUCAAAAGUGUACAUGUUGCAACUGUAUGUUAAUGGGCUUCCACAUGGGUUCAUCAUUCUUAACCAACAUCAACUGUUGGGACUCUGGCGUAUAUUUCUCUUCAAUAUGGUCGCAAGGUAUAAUCCAUUCUCUUUGUGCUUUAAACUGUCUCGUGCAUACUCUGCCAUAUGUUGCCCGGUUAUUUCAUUUUGCUAGGCCAUAAAAGCUUUACUUGCUUUCUGAAUCUUACAUCCACCUUUUGUUGGCAUGAGUGGUGCAUAGUAUUUAGGCGCAACCAUUUAAAUAUUUUUGGUUUUAUUUGCUGAAGCACUACUAAUUUGUCUUUGUAUGGCAAUAGAUGAUGUGUGGAUGUGGGGCCAUCCUUUACGCGAUGUUGGUUGGUACCUACCCUUUCGAUCAAGAUCACAAGAAUUUUGAAAUGACAAGUCAGGUGUUUAGUGUUCAAUUCCACAAGUAGCUGCAGCCUUCCACCUUAUGAACAAGUUCUGUCAAGAUGUAGAUGGUCAGGAGGUGCGAUCCCAUCAAAGUUAUGUUCAAAGCUACAACUUGAACCUGAAUCUCUAUUGCAACGUAAAUAUGUGGUUUGUGCCAAGAAAAUUCAGUUAGCUGUAUGAUUCUAUUUUUGGUGUUCGUUUCUAUUAAAAGUUAAAACCGUAAGUGAAAUAUGUUUCUUAUCGGAGUCAAUUGCAUGAACAUUGAACAUGUCAACACUGAACAGUGUAUCGACCACCCAUCCUGUAUUACAGGAUGAACAUAUAUACAUCAUUUGUACAUGGCGAGCAUGGAGCGAAAACCAUCCAGAUACCAGUUUGCCAACCAGUCCAAGUUCUAAGCGGGGCAAGCGGGCGUGCGAGUGGCAAGCAACGGACUAUAGCCAUUAUAUUCUGAGCGAUCCAUAGGAAAGUAAUUAUCUUAUAUGUGAUUCUUUUUUCAAAUUAAAUUAAAUUGCAGUUGUCUUAAGUCCUGUAUAAAACCUCAUUAGGUUGUAACGACCAUUACUGAUCAAUGCAAGAGUUUUAGUUUCU